rnacentral:guide_RNA from 1 species
AAUGCAUUACCUAUAAAGUGAGAACAGUGAUUAUAAUUGU